UGCUGGCUGGGCUGGCUGGUGCGAUGCUGCACUACUACUGCUUGCGUGCAGUGAGCGUGUGUUGGCAGGGAUUGUGUUGCCGUGGCCAUGAAGAAGCACUGUCGUGUCAAGCUGGCAAGGCGAUGGUGUCACCUUUGAGCCAUGUCUGUGGUGUAACAGCUACAGGUGUGGACGGGUGUGGGCAGCGCUCUGCACACGUUGUGGAGUCUGUCGGCUCGUCUGCAUGCCUUUGGAUGCCCUUAAAAAGGUGUCUGCGGGCGGAUGGCACGUUUACUUUGAACAAAUUUGAGUGCUCAAAUCAGGCCGAUGUUGCCUGAAAAGUUUUGCAUGGAAUAAUGGAAUAGGACUUCGGUUCUAUUUCGUUGGUUUCGGAUCCGAAGUAAUGAUCAAAAGAGACAGGCGGGGACGUUUGUAUGGCUGCGCUAGAGGUGAAAUUCAUGGACCGUAGCCAGACAGACUAAAGCGAAAGCAUUCGUCAAGCAUGUUUUCAUUGGCCAUGAGCGAAAGUCAGAGGCUCGAAGACGAUCAGAUACCGUCCUAGUUCUGACCAUAAACGAUGCCAACUGACGAUCCGUGGUGGUAGUAGUGUUACCUUCCCCACGGGCAGUCCCCGGAAACCUUUAAGUGUUUGGGUUCCGGGGAAGUAUGGUUGCAAAGCUGAAACUUAAAGGAAUUGACGGAAGGGCACCACCAGGAGUGGAGCCUGCGGCUUAAUUUGACUCAACACGGGAAAACUCACCCGGGCCGGACACUGUGAGGAUUGACAGAUUGAGAGCUCUUUCUUGAUUUGGUGGUUGGUGGUGCAUGGCCGUUCUUAGUUGGUGGAGCGAUUUGUCUGGUUAAUUCCGAUAACGAACGAGACUCCAACCUGCUAAUUAGUGCGUUUGUCCACUGCGCCUGCGUAGGUGACGCUGGAUGACACCACCUGUCACGAGGACGUGGCAGCGGCUCUUCUCUCCCCUUCUCCGCUCGAAUGCCCUCCAGCGCCUCCUCCUCCUCCUCCUCCUCUCCUCCCCCUUCUUCAGCGCCUCAUCUGGCCGGCUGGCUGGCUGGCCGGGUGAGGCGGUGGUGGCGGUGGCGGUGGUGAGGGCGAUGGGGUGGGGAUGGUGCGGGUGGGCGAGUGGAUUGUGGUGGAGGCGUGGGGUUGGGUGCGGCGCUCGUGGCCGGUUAGUCUGGCGUUGGCCUCCGGGUGUGGCGCGAAUGCCUACUUCUUAGAGGGACAAGCGGGAGAAGCCGCACGAAAUAGAGCAAUAACAGGUCUGUGAUGCCCUU
rnacentral:rRNA from 1 species